rnacentral:lncRNA from 1 species
CAUGUCAUAGUACUCAUCUUUUCCAAUCAUGAAUGGGGGGUGGGGCAGGGUGUCAAGAUUUGGAAACUCAAGAUACUACUAAUGCCAAAACCACUUCCUGACAAAGGCGACUGCAACAAUGACACUGCUUUCCAUUUAACAUAUUACUGCCAAAAGAUCAAUUAGAAGUAGGUUCCCCUUCUCAUUACGUGUUUCCGUACGACAAAAACAGCAAAGAACUUCCUCCUGAAGGUCAGAGGGGGUGGGAGCUAUGAGUUGUUAUCAGUCCAGAGUACCAUUUUAAAAACUGCAGCAAGAGGAAAAAAGCAGGGGAGCAAAAAUGUCAGAAAAUAUAAUUUACGCUGACUUGAACUUGACCGAAUCAACCAGGCCCAGACUACAGAAGGUCACUGAUGUCCAAGGUACAAGCCGUUCCUCCAGAACACGUGUUGCUGUAUUUGUUGCUUUGAUAAUCCUACUGGCCUUAGCAGUGUGCCUGAUUGUCCUAAACCUUCCAACUGCCAGCAGCUCACCUGGCUCAGAAACAUCAUCCAACACCCCUGAAGAGGCACCUGGUAGGUUACCCUCUAUCAUUCAAAAGAGACUCUCCAGAAGCCUCUUAGGUUGCCAUUUAAGCGAAGGGGGAAGGUGUCUAGAUUGUGUUAAGAAGAA